UAGUGACUGCAAGCUGCUUGUCAUGAUUGCGUUUCUAAACUUGGCUCUGUGAGGAACUAGUUGGCGGAUGGAUCUGCUCGACGGUGCAAGCGGGCUAUAUAAGGGCGCUCACCGUGCUCCGCCGUCUCUUUUGCAACGGCGCCCUGCGUGUGCGUGCACAGAAUGGAGAAUCUCAAAAUGGCGGCCUCCAUGGGCCGCACGUGGCGAAGACGCCACCCACGUGGUUUGGCCACAUGACGUAACAUCCGGCCCUACCGAAGGAGGGCAAUGUUGGUCUGAGGUGGGCGAGCGGAGUGGAUCGCGAGUGGAGGUCGCUGCAUCCUCUCUGCAUGUCGCCCAUGGCCAAGGAAAACCCAGCGGCGAUUGCAUAGGUGGGGCGGGAGAUUGUUGAGCCCGGCAAGGUGGGAUCGUACCAUUGAGUGGGAACAGAGACCAUGUCACCCUACUCGUCACCCGUUCAACCAGCUGACCUGGAGGUGGACAGACUGAUGCAACGGGGGAGGGGGAGAGGUGGACAGAUGCAAGCUGCUGGUAACCGCUGACGACUGCCUCCCUCGUCCCACGGUGUGGUGCUGAAGCUCAAGUUGGAUUCCCAGCUGGACCAGAAGGCACUGGGAUCUUGCUGGCCGCUACCCCUGGGGCUCGUAAUUGUUGACACCGGCUGCCCCUGGAGGAGGGGGGCAGCAGCUGCUGCUGCUGCAUCGUCUCCUAUCCCGUGUUUCCCUUGCCGCUUCAAAUUUAGCACAGUUGCCUAUAUGUACCACGCAACAUAAGUUGUAGAUACUCCCCUCGCCUACAUCGACAUGAAUGAAACUCUUACCGCUCGAUGCCUCUCCCAGCGCACAAACUUCCCCUAGCCUCGGUCAUUCGCAAGAUGGCGACCCCACCGCUACACAAGGGGCGUUUUGCGUGCUGCAGCUCGGCAAGACCCAAUCGGUAAUUGCGGUGCAGCGUGCGUUUCGACGGCGUUUUGGCAUCGAUCCGCCGAUGUCCAAGAGCGUCCGUGGUUGGCACCGACAGUUUGAGGAAACUUGUUGCUUGUGUAAGGGGAAGAGCGCGGGGCGACCGCGCACCUCGGAGGAGAACGUGAGGAGAAUUCAGGAGAGUUUUCUGCGUGGCCCGCGCAAGGUCCACCCGUCCGUGUCAGCCGAGAACUUGCGAUCCCUCGUACGACCGUCUGGCGUGUGUCGAGGCGACCUUUAAUCACGAGGCCGCACCGGUCGCAAGUGUUCCAGUCUCUUGGUGCAGGCGACAAAGGAAGGCGCGUGGAAUUUUGUGACGCGGUGUUAGAGCAUGGAGGACGGACGACUUCUUGCCGCCUUUGAUUUUUAGUGAUGAAGCGACGUUUCAGCUUUGCGGUAAAGUUAACCGGCACAACGUGCGCAUGUGGGGAUGGGAGAAUCCACACGAAACUGCAGAGCGCGAGCGUAGUUCCUCGACGGUGAACACGUUUUGUGCCGUUUCUCAAAGAAAGGUUUACGGCCCUUUCUUUUUGGAGGGAAACACAAUCACGGGGCAAGCGUAUCUCGAAAUGCUGCAGAAAUGGCUCCACAGCUUGACGAAGAUUCUGAUGACUUUAUUUAUCAGCAGGACGAUGCACCGCCACAUUGGCACCUGCAGGUGCGACGUUUUCUAAAUGACGCACUGCCUCAACGUUGGAUAGGUCGCACAGGGACCCCAAGAUUUGGCGCUACACGCCUGGCCCCCAAGAUCCCCAGACAUCACCACACCCUGUUUGACUUCGUGGGGAUACGUCAAAGACCGUGGUGUUUUUGUGCCACCGUUAGCGACUAAUCUGGAUGACCUCAAACAGAAUCUCGGCAGUGGGUGACAUCAGUGGAAGAAGACGCUUUGAGAGGCGUUUGGGACGAAUUAAACGAUUGUCUCGAUGUUGUCCGUACAGCAGACGGAGGGCACGUAGAGCAUUUAUAAAAUGGUAAAAAUUUAUAACGCUUUAAACCGUUUAACUUUUUGUGUAAUUGUAACAUGUUUCUAUGGUGAAAUAUACUACUUUGAAAUUUGGUCCAUCUUUUUGAAACGCCCUGUACAGUAAUUUAUCUAUUUAAACCAGAAAUGACUAAAAUACAUUUGACGAUCUAUGAAUACAUUUAUUGCUGAGUUUAGACGGCACUUUUUGAGCAGAAUGAUGCAAUAUGAACCUGGUAUGAUAUCAAUUGCAUGUUAUUCCUAGAAGUCAUGGAUGAUACAAUGACAACUCGGCUUGCAUCCUGCUGAACAAAUUACCCAAUAUCAACUCUAGAAAUCAGUGGUGCACUUUGUCGGUGUUUGAUUUUGCAAAGGGACACUUCUGUUUAGCCAAAGUUAGCAGAGCUGCCUCGUGCUUGUGAACAAAGCAGAACUGCUGUGUUUGCGGUGAAGUGACUUUUGCAUCACCAGCGCAGUGACCACGGGUUAAGGAAGCCUAUCACCUGUGUUUUGGCUGCACAAUUGGAGAUUGGAACAAGAUGUGGGCUUCACACGCUGCAACACUUGUGCAACACAUUUUUGCCAGUGGUUGAAAAGGAAAUGUAUGCCUUUUGCAGUGGCAAUGAUUGAGACAAAUUGUUAGGUUGGGAAAGGUGUGAAGAGGAACACGUGAGCUGCAUUAGCCAUAGAUUCAAUCUGCUAAACGCCCAUUUAAUGAAUACAAGAGAAGCCAAGAACUAGACACUGAAUAAGACCUAAACGAUGUAUUUGUAUCCAAGUUUUUUGCCUUGUUUUGUAAUAAAUUGUAUUUUUAUAA